rnacentral:rRNA from 1 species
ACAAGGUCUCCGUUGGUGAACCAGCGGAGGGAUCAUUACCGAGUUUACAACUCCCAAACCCCUGUGAACAUACCUAUACGUUGCCUCGGCGGAUCAGCCCGCGCCCCGUAAAAAGGGACGGCCCGCCCGAGGACCCCUAAACUCUGUUUUUAGUGGAACUUCUGAGUAAAACAAACAAAUAAAUCAAAACUUUCAACAACGGAUCUCUUGGUUCUGGCAUCGAUGAAGAACGCAGCAAAAUGCGAUAAGUAAUGUGAAUUGCAGAAUUCAGUGAAUCAUCGAAUCUUUGAACGCACAUUGCGCCCGCCAGUAUUCUGGCGGGCAUGCCUGUUCGAGCGUCAUUUCAACCCUCAAGCUCAGCUUGGUGUUGGGACUCGCGGUAACCCGCGUUCCCCAAAUCGAUUGGCGGUCACGUCGAGCUUCCAUAGCGUAGUAAUCAUACACCUCGUUACUGGUAAUCGUCGCGGCCACGCCGUAAAACCCCAACUUCUGAAUGUUGACCUCGGAUCAGGUAGGAAUACCCGCUGAACUUAAGCAUAUCAAU